UACGAAGGGGGCUAGCGUUGCUCGGAAUCACUGGGCGUAAAGGGUGCGUAGGCGGGUCUUUUAAGUCAGGGGUGAAAUCCUGGAGCUCAACUCCAGAACUGCCUUUGAUACUGAGGAUCUUGAGUACGGGAGAGGUGAGUGGAACUGCGAGUGUAGAGGUGAAAUUCGUAGAUAUUCGCAAGAACACCAGUGGCGAAGGCGGCUCACUGGCCCGUAACUGACGCUGAGGCACGAAAGCGUGGGGGAGCAAACAGGG
rnacentral:rRNA from 1 species